rnacentral:lncRNA from 1 species
GCUGCGGGAGUGGCAGGCGCUGCCAUACACCAGCCCAUACGCCGAUGCUUCAGGCCUCGACCGCCGCACAGACGUGUCGGAGAAGCGGAAUGUGGGAGUGUUCCAUGAGCUUCUGCACCUCACUGUGGCGAAGAGAACAGAGCGCCAGAAUGUGAGCAAUAUGAGGAAGCUGCUUGGCAUGCCUCAGAAGUUCACCAAGGUGUUCGAACGCCACCCUGGCAUUUUUUACCUGUCCAGGGUUUGUGGCACUCAGACGGUUGUUCUUCGGGAAGCUUACGGCGGUGGAAGCCAGCUGCUUGAGAAGCAUGCACAUCCGCUUGUUGCUAUC